rnacentral:rRNA from 1 species
GAUGAACGCUGGCGGCGUGCCUAAUACAUGCAAGUCGAGCGAACAGACCAUGAUCUUGCUCCUCUCACGUUAGCUGCGCACGUGUGUGUAACACGUGUAUAACCUACCUAUAUUUCUGUUAUAACUUCGGGAAACCGGAUCUAAUACCGUAUAAUAUAUUGAACCGCAUUGUUCUUUAGUGAAAUACGGUUUUUCUGUCACUUAUAGAUGGUUCCGCGCCUCAUUAGCUAGUUGUUAAGGUAACGGCUUACCAAGGCGACGAUGCGUAGCCGACCUGAGAGGGGGAUCGGCCACACGGGAAAGGAGACAGGGAACAGAGGACUAAGGGAGGAAGCAGAAGGGAAUGUGACGCAAUGGGGGAAAGGAUGACGGAGCAACGCGGAGUGAGAGAUGAAGGUAUAGGGAUCGGAAAAAUCUGUUAUGAGGGAAGAACAAAUGUGUAAGGAAAUAAGCACGGAUUGACGGUAAAUAAUAAGAAAGCAACGGCUAACUACGUG